rnacentral:lncRNA from 1 species
GUAGGUGUUGAAUUGGAAUAUAGCGUUAGCAUAAGGGAUUGAAAGUUGUAUCUCUUUUAAUAAAUAGAAAAAUUGACAAAACAUGUGAGUCGGACUUUUUAAGUUUACUUUAAAACGUAUAUACAUCACGUAUACGUCAAAUGAAAGGAAUGUUCUGAUAAGUAGUAUGACAACAUAUAGCAGUAAGUGCAUGAUAUAUAAAGCAAAACAUUCUAAGAAAUUGCAGAAAACAAUACCCACAGUAUGACUUUUUAUUGUUAUUUUUUAGCCUCGACAAAUUUGUUUUAGAGUAUUGAGUAAAAGAGGGGAUUGGGGUAUACGUAAAUGAGACAGCAACCGAACGACACAAAUUUCCGAAUGACAUCGGAAGGUCAAGGCACUGUAUAUAAAGGAUCAAAUAUAUUACAUCAGCAUCUCUAUGCAUGUGUUUGCACAUUGGGUAUAUACAAUCUUGUGUUAAACUAUCAAGCUAUUUUUGCGUAACUGUUUUAAGACUCUGGUGAAAUCUGUCAAAUUUUUAAACUAUUAUCUUUAUUGAAAUGCUAUCACUACAACUCGUCUUUCCUAAUAAUUAACAGUAUAUAAACUUUUUACAGC